rnacentral:rRNA from 1 species
AUGCCUAACACAUGCAAGUCGAACGAACCCUUCGGGGUUAGUGGCGCACGGGUGCGUAACGCGUGGGAAUCUGCCCUUUGCUUCGGAAUAACAGUUAGAAAUGACUGCUAAUACCGGAUGAUGUCUUCGGACCAAAGAUUUAUCGGCAAAGGAUGAGCCCGCGUAGGAUUAGGUAGUUGGUGGGGUAAAGGCCUACCAAGCCGACAAUCCUUAGCUGGUCUGAGAGGAUGAUCAGCCACACUGGGACUGAGACACGGCCCAGACUCCUACGGGAGGCAGCAGUGGGGAAUAUUGGACAAUGGGCGAAAGCCUGAUCCAGCAAUGCCGCGUGAGUGAUGAAGGCCUUAGGGUCGUAAAGCUCUUUUACCCGGGAUGAUAAUGACAGUACCGGGAGAAUAAGCCCCGGCUAACUCCGUGCCAGCAGCCGCGGUAAUACGGAGGGGGCUAGCGUUGUUCGGAAUUACUGGGCGUAAAGCGUACGUAGGCGGUUAUUCAAGUCAGAGGUGAAAGCCCGGGGCUCAACCCCGGAACGGCCUUUGAAACUAGGUAGCUAGAGUCUUGGAGAGGUCAGUGGAAUUCCGAGUGUAGAGGUGAAAUUCGUAGAUAUUCGGAAGACACCAGUGGCGAAGGCGACUGACUGGACAAGUACUGACGCUGAG